UACGGGGGGGCAAGCGUUGUUCGGAAUUACUGGGCGUAAAGGGCUCGUAGGUGGCCAACUAAGUCAGACGUGAAAUCCCUCGGCUUAACCGGGGAACUGCGUCUGAUACUGGACGGCUUGAGUUUGGGAGAGGGACGCGGAAUUCCAGGUGUAGCGGUGAAAUGCGUAGAUAUCUGGAGGAACACCGGUGGCGAAGGCGGCGUCCUGGACCAACACUGACCACUGAGGAGCGAAAGC
rnacentral:rRNA from 1 species